rnacentral:rRNA from 1 species
GGAUAACACUGGGAAACAGGUGCUAAUACCGCAUAACCAUAGUUACCGCAUGGUAACUAUGUAAAAGGUGGCUAUGCUACCGCUUUUGGAUGGGCCCGCGGCGCAUUAGCUAGUUGGUGGGGUAAAGGCUUACCAAGGCAAUGAUGCGUAGCCGAACUGAGAGGUUGAUCGGCCACAUUGGGACUGAGACACGGCCCAAACUCCUACGGGAGGCAGCAGUAGGGAAUCUUCCACAAUGGGCGAAAGCCUGAUGGAGCAACGCCGCGUGGGUGAAGAAGGUCUUCGGAUCGUAAAACCCUGUUGUUAGAGAAGAAAGUGCGUGAGAGUAACUGUUCACGUUUCGACGGUAUCUAACCAGAAAGCCACGGCUAACUACGUGCCAGCAGCCGCGGUAAUACGUAGGUGGCAAGCGUUAUCCGGAUUUAUUGGGCGUAAAGGGAACGCAGGCGGUCUUUUAAGUCUGAUGUGAAAGCCUUCGGCUUAACCGGAGUAGUGCAUUGGAAACUGGGAGACUUGAGUGCAGAAGAGGAGAGUGGAACUCCAUGUGUAGCGGUGAAAUGCGUAGAUAUAUGGAAGAACACCAGUGGCGAAAGCGGCUCUCUGGUCUGUAACUGACGCUGAGGUUCGAAAGCGUGGGUAGCAAACAGGAUUAGAUACCCUGGUAGUCCACGCCGUAAACG